GUGCUCACUUUGGCAGUACAUAGUAUAAAAUUAGCAUAAUACCAAGACUAGUUUGGCCACUGCCCAAGCAUGAUAUGCAAAUACAUGAACAAUUCAAGACAAAA
rnacentral:snRNA from 1 species